ACGCACGCUGGCGGCGUGCUUCACACAUGCCAGUCGCACGGUGAAGCUCCAGCUUGCUGGAGUGGAUCAGUGGCGAACGGGUGAGUAACACGUGAGCAACCUGCCCCUGACUCUGGAAUAAGCGCUGGAAACGGCGUCUAAUACUGGAUACGAGAAGGGUCCGCAUGGGCACUUUCUGGAAAGUUUUUCGGUUGGGGAUGGGCUCGCGGCCUAUCAGCUUGUUGGUGAGGUAAUGGCUCACCAAGGCGACGACGGGUAGCCGGCCUGAGAGGGCGACCGGCCACACUGGGACUGAGACACGGCCCAGACUCCUACGGGAGGCAGCAGUGGGGAAUAUUGCACAAUGGGCGAAAGCCUGAUGCAGCGACGCCGCGUGAGGGAUGACGGCCUUCGGGUUGUAAACCUCUUUCAGCAGGGAAGAAGCGAAAGUGACAGUACCUGCAGAAGAAGCACCGGCUAACUACGUG
rnacentral:rRNA from 1 species